AUGUGAGUGUGCGGGGUGGGGGUGUGGGAGCUGGGGUACUUAAUAGUCUGUGGAACAUGUUAUUAAGCAUUACUGGAAAGAGGGCCGACCAUGUGCAGCCGAUCUGUGACCUAGACCGUGUCCCACCGCUAAGUGUUACGACCUUGGGCAAGUCAGCUUCCUAUUCUGAACCUCAGUGUUCUCAUCUAUAAAAUGAAUUAAUUGGACAAAAUGAUCUUUACUGUCUCUUCUAGAUGGAAAAGCUCAACGAUUCUCAUAAACCCCAUCACAGGCCAUUGAAAGCAUGAACGAUUUCUUCAGUCCUCUGAUUAGCCAGGUAUUCAGAAUAUGUUUCACUCACCUGGAGAGUUGCAUCGUCUUGACAAACACAAGGCAAUUAAGAGACUUCCAGCUGCUCCUGCUGCUACUGUGUAUUCAGGGGGAGGGAGAAAUGAUGGCUGGCCUCUCCAAAGUGCCUUUGCUGCAUUCGUCUGGUUUUCAUGACUCUAAUGUCCCAACUGACUGUGUCUAAGAAGCAAAAGACGUGACUUAGAAAGCUUUCCGUAUUCCUACACCAAGAAAGGUUACAGAAUUUGCCAAGUUCUGAGCUUGACACGGCCUUCUUUUCCUGACAAUCAGGUUGGCAUUUUAGAAGGAAGAUGAAAUGGCUUCAGGAAAUGAUGUGAAAGGUUAAGAAGAUGGAUGAGAAAUAUAAGUCAAGAGCUGUCACGAAGGAAAAUGCGGCCUCACAGUGCUGUGUUCAAUGUAUUUCUUAGAAAAACUAGACUCCAGGGAUUCCGCCCACUCCUGAACAGAUUCACCUGACAUAUGAAGAAGCAGGAAAACAUAACCUAUACCAGGAGAAAAACCAACCUCAAGAACUGGCAAAUGAAUCAUCUGUCAUUGGAAAAACAGUGCAUGAACUUGGAACCAGAAGGCACUGAUUAUCAGCUCUGCGACCUCAGGCAAGUCACUUCACUGGACCUCAAUUUUUUCAUGUGUAAGCCAGGGAACAUAAUAACUAACAAAAGGAAUGUAACUAGAACUGGUUUGUAAACUGAAAAGUAAUAUGUACAAACUUGAAGGGAUUUUCAUGUUUUUUUAGAAGGACCAUUUUAUUGAAAAAUAAAAUUGAUAUUAUACUAGUUGAAAAUUUAAGCAGCAUGAUUGAUCAUUCACUUUGUUUCUUGUAACUGAUGUUGUACACAAUGCCUUUUCACUUCUGAAUAAGAAUUUUGAUAUAAAGAUUUCUUUUCUUUGGGGGUAAAGUUUAAAGAUACCAUAUAGGAUCCUCAAACUACUGGCCCUUGCCCUGCUGAUACAGGGUACCGGCAACAGACGCUGAUACAAGACAAAAAGAAGCCUUUAGAACAUGUGCCGUGACAGUAUGCAUCAAAACCAUAAGAAUUUAUACCUAGCAAUUCCACUUCUAAGACUUCAUUGUAUAAAUAAGUAUUUAUUCAGCUAGCAUCCCUUUUUAAUAAUGGAAAAUU